UGUGUCUGAUAAUAGUACAUAGUGUCUGAGUAUAGCUGGUGGUGUCUGAGUAAAGUAUGUUGUGUCUUAUAAUAGUACAUAGUGUCUGGGUGAAGCAAGUGGUGUCUGAGACUCGUACGCAGUGUCUGAGUAUAGCUAAUGUUGUCUGAGUAUAGCAAUUGGUGUUUGAGAAUAGUACGUAGUGUCUGUGUGUAGAUGAUUGGUGUCUAAGAAUAGUAAGUGGUGUCUGAGUAUAGUAUGUGGUGUCUGAUAAUAGUACAUAGAGUCUGAGUAUAGCAAGUGGUGUCUGAUAAUAGUACAUAGUGUCUGAGUAUAACUGGCGGUGUUUGAGUAUAGUAUGUGGUGUCUGAUAAUAGUACAUAGUGUCUGAGUAUAGCUGGUGGUGUCUGAGUAUAGCAAGUGGUGUUUGAAAAUAGUAAGUAGUGUCUGAGUAUAGCUGAUUUGUGUUUUUAAGAAUAGUACGUAGUGUCUGAGUAUAGCUUGUGAUGUCUAAGAAUAGUACCUAGUGUCUGAGUAUAGCUUGUGAUGUCUAAGAAUAGUACCUAGUGUCUGAGUAUAGCUUGUGAUGUCUAAGAAAAGUACGUAGUGUCUGAGUAUAGCUGGUAAUGUCAAAGAAUAGUACGUAGUGUCUGAGUAUAGCUGGUAAUGUCAAAGAAUAGUACGUAGUGUCUGAGUAUAGCUGAUUUGUGUCUAAGAAUAGAACGUAGUGUCUGAGUAAAGCUGGUGAUGUCUUAGAAUAGUACGUAGUGUCUGAGUAUAGCUGGUGAUGUCUUAGAAUAGUACGUAGUGUCUGAGUUUAGCUGGUGAUGUCUUAGAAUAGUACGUAGUGUCUGAGUAUAGCUGAUUUGUGUCUAAGAAUAGAACGUAGUGUCUGAGUAAAGCUGGUGAUGUCUAAGAAAAGUAAGUGGUGUCUGAGUAUAGCUUGUGAUGUCUAAGAAUAGUACGUAGUGUCUGAGUAUAGCUGAUUUGUGUCUAAGAAUAGAACGUAGUGUCUGAGUAAAGCUGGUGAUGUCUAAGAAAAGUAAGUGGUGUCUGAGUAAAGCUUGUGAUGUCUAAGAAUAGUACGUAGUGUCUGAGUAUAGCUUGUGAUGUCUAAGAAUAGUACCUAGUGUCUGAGUAUAGCUGGUAAUGUCAAAGAAUAGUACGUAGUGUCUGAGUAUAGCUGGUAAUGUCAAAGAAUAGUACGUAGUGUCUGAGUAAAGCUGAUUGGUGUCUAAGAAUAGUACGUAGUGUCUGAGUAUAGCUGAUUUGUGUCUAAGAAUAGAACGUAGUGUCUGAGUAUAGCUGGUGAUGUCUAAGAAUAGUACGUAGUGUCUGAGUAUAGCUGUAGAUGUCUAAGAAUAGUACGUAGUGUCUGAGUAUAGCUGGUGAUGUCUAAGAAAAGUAAGUGGUGUCUGAGUAAAGCUGGUGAUGUCUAAGAAUAGUACCUAGUGUCUGAGUAUAGCUGAUUUGUGUCUAAGAAUAGAACGUAGUGUCUGAGUAUAGCUGGUGAUGUCUUAGAAUAGUACGUAGUGUCUGAGUAUAGCUGGUGAUGUCUUAGAAUAGUACGUAGUGUCUGAGUAUAGCUGAUUUGUGUCUAAGAAUAGAACGUAGUGUCUGAGUAUAGCUGGUGAUGUCUUAGAAUAGUACGUAGUGUCUGAGUAUAGCUGAUUUGUGUCUAAGAAUAGAACGUAGUGUCUGAGUAUAGCUGGUGAUGUCUUAGAAUAGUACGUAGUGUCUGAGUAUAGCUGGUGAUGUCUAAGAAAAGUAAGUGGUGUCUGAGUAAAGCUGGUGAUGUCUUAGAAUAGUACGUAGUGUCUGAGUAUAGCUGGUGAUGUCUAAGAAAAGUAAGUGGUGUCUGAGUAAAGCUGGUGAUGUCUUAGAAUCGUACGUAGUGUCUGAGAAAAGAAGGUAAUGUUCGAUAAAUGUUGUGUUGUAUAUGAUACUAGUAAAGACUUUCUGAUAAUAUAAUUAAGUGUUUUAGAAAAGCCCUUUCUGUCUGUGUACGGUUUAGUAUUUAGAUAAUGGGUUAUGUUUAGAUAAAUUGUUAUGUUUGUGUAUGUUUGGGUGCGUAUGAAAAUAGUAUAUCCUGUCUGUAAAUAGUGGAUCAUGUCUUUGAAUAGUACUUAGUGUUUGAUAAAAGCGGAUUGUGUCCGAGAAAAUGGUGUUCAGUCCGAUAAUAGUGGGUUCUGUCGCGGAUACUACGUUGUGUCUAAGAAUAUUAUGCUGCUUCUGAAAAUAGAAUGCUUUUCUGUGAACUAUCUCAGUAUUUUAUAUCUUGUAGGACAAAAAUGUCUAUGUAUGAGAAAAGUUGGUUGUGUCUGAUAAAAGUAAACAGAGUCUGAGAACACUUAGUUGUGUCUCAAAGUAGUAGGAAGAGUCGGAUAAUAAUACGUUAUGUGUAAACAUAGUGGGCUAUGUCAGAGAUUAGUGGAAAUGUUUGUGAAAAAGUGGGUAUGGCCGGAGAAUAGUGGAUGAUGUGUGAACUUGAACAUUGUGUUUGGAUAAAAGUAGGCAUUGUCUCAGAAAAUCCAAUUUGUCUAAGAAUAGUAUAUAAUGGCUGUAAAAGUACAUUUUGACUGCGAAAGGUGGUUUAUGUCUUAAUGGUCGGCUUGUCCGAGAAAAAUAGUUAAUUUAUGAGAAUAGUAGGUAUUGUCUUAGAAAAGUACCUUUAUCUGCGAAUAUAUGUUGUUGCUAUUUUCUGUGAAAAGCAAGUUUUGUCAGACAGUAGUCGGCAUUGGGUGAGAACAUUACAUUUUGCCUGAGAAUAGUGGGCAUUGUAUGAGAAUGUUACAGUUUUUUCUGAGAAAAGAAGUUAUUGUAUAAGAUUUGUACGUUUCGUACAUUGAACAGUUCAUUUCGUCUGAGGAUAAUAGAGAUUGUCUCAGAAUAGUAUAUAUUGCGUGGCAAUGGUAAGUAAAAUCUGAGAAUAGUAGACCUCGUCUGACAAAAGUAUUUAUGUGUCUAAGAAAAGAAAGUAUUUCAGGAGAUAGUUAGUAGUGUGUGUAAAUUGUGUAAAGUGUCUGCGAAUAGUACGUACCGUCUGAGGAUAGUGGAUUAUAUAUGAGUAUAGCAUGUAUAAUCUGAGAAAAGUAUGUAUUAUCUAAGAAUAGUGGAUUAUAUCCUGUCACAUGCCUUUAAAUCAGCCCGAUAACCAGAUAACCUAAUAUCCCAAAAGAUAUUAGGCUAGAUGACCACGUGACCUCGAAUAUCCGUCAGUUGCUAUCCGCGCAUGCGCAUGCGUUUACUAUUUUCUAUUUAUAAAAUAUACUUUUUCUAUUAAUGAAAUACCAAAAACAUGUAAAGAACUGUUUUUUAAACAUUAUUAUUUAAACAGCAUAAUUUCGUCGUUGUGUAUUGAAUUAAUAACGAGUAACUCGAUUUCUGUGUGUCUUAACAAGAUAGAAGCUAGCCUAAGCGCUUUGCCCGACGUGACGUCACCAUGUUUUUUUUCGCGCGUGAUGUUUACCAUAUUAAAUAUUUAAUCUGAAAAAAGUAUGUAUUAUCUGAUAAUAGUGGAAUAUAUUUGAGUAUAGCAUGUAUAAUCUGAGAAAAGUAUGUAAUAUCUAAGAAUAAUGGAUUAUAUCUGAGUAUUGCAUGUAUAAUCUCAGAAAAGUAGGUAUUAUCUAAGAAUAGUGGAAUAUAUCAGAGUAUAGCAUGAAUAAUCUCAGAAAAGUAGGUAUUAUCUGAGAAUAGUGGAAUAUAUCUUAGUUAAGCAUGUAUAAUUUGAAAAAAGUUUGUAUUAUCUGAGAAUAGUGGAUUAUAUCUGAAUAUAGCAUGUAUAAUCUGAGAAAAGUAUGUUUUAUCUAAGAAUAGUGGAAUUUAUCUGAGUUUAGCAUGUAUAAUCUGUGAAAAGUAGGUAUUAUCUGAGAAUAGUGGAUUAUAUCUGAGUAUAACAUGUAUAAUCUGAGAAAAGUAUGUAUUAUCUGAGAAUAGUGGAUUAUAUCUGAGUAUAGCAUGUAUAGUCUGAAAAAAGUAGGUAUUAUCUGAAAAUAGUGGAUUAUAUCUGAGUAAAGCAUGUAUAGUCUGAGAAAAGCAUGUUAUAUCAGAGAAUAGUGGUUUAUAUCUGAGUUUAGCAUGUAUAGUCUGAGAAAAGUAGGUAUUAUCUGAGAAUAGUGGAUUAUAUCUGAGUAUAGCAUGUAUAAUCUGAGAAAAGUAGGUAUUAUCUGAGAAUAGUGGAAUAUAUCUGAGUUUAGCAUGUAUAGUGUGAGAAAAGUAGGUAUUAUCUAAGAAUAGUGGUUUAUAUCUGAGUUUAGCAUGUAUAGUCUGAGAAAAGUAGGUAUUAUCUGAGAAUAGUGGAUUAUAUCUGAGUUUAGCAUGUAUAGUGUGAGAAAAGUAGGUAUUAUCUAAGAAUAGUGGUUUAUAUCUGAGUUUAGCAUGUAUAGUCUGAGAAAAGUAGGUAUUAUCUGAGAAUAGUGGAUUAUAUCUGAGUUUAGCAUGUAUAGUGUGAGAAAAGUAGGUAUUAUCUGAGAAUAGUUGUUUAUAUCUGAGUUUAGCAUGUAUAGUUUGAGAAGAGUAUGUAUUAUCUAAGAAUAGUGGUUUAUAUCUGAGUUUAGCAUGUAUAGUUUGAGAAAAGUAGGUAUUAUCUGAGAAUAAUGGAUUAUAUCUGAGUAUAGCAUGUAUAAUCUAAGAAAAGUAGGUAUUAUCUAAGAAUAGUGGAAUAUAUCAGAGUAUAGCAUGAAUAAUCUCAGAAAAGUAGGUAUUAUCUAAGAUUAGUGGAUUAUAUCUGAGUUUAGCAUGUUUAGUCUGAGAAAAAAGGUAGUAUCUAAGAAUAGUGGAUUAUAUCUGAGUAUAACAUGUAUAAUCUGAGAAAAGUAUGUAUUAUCUAAGAAUAGUGGAUUAUAUCUGAGUUUAGCAUGUUUAAUCUUAGGAAAGUAUGUAUUAUCUAAGAAUAGUGGAUUUUAUCUUAGAAUAACAUGUUUAAUCUUAGGAAAGUAUGUAUUAUCUAAGAAUAGUGGAUUAUAUCUUAGAAUAACAUGUAUAAUCUGAGAAAAGUAGGUAUUAUCUGAGAAUAGCGGAUUACAAUUUAGUAUAGCAUGUAUAUUCUGAGAAUACUUGGUAUUUUCUAAGUAGUUUGUGCGAUCAGUAUGUGUCUGCGAAUAGUACGCAUUACAAUGGUACAUUGUGUCUGACAAUAGUUGCAUAAUUAUGUAAGUGGAAUAAUUCUCACAACAUUACGCAUUGUCUGAGAGUAUAACGAUCUUUCUUAGAAUAGUUAGUAGUGUAUGAGAAUCGUAUGCAGUGUCGUAUUAAAUCGUUAAAAUGUUCAGUAUACAAGUAAAUACGCAUGUAAGUAAAAGAUAUUUGAAAAAAUUAAUAUAUGAAACGUCACAAGUGACACAUGCUAUUUGAUCAUAGGAUUCAUGUUUAUCACAAAUGAUACCGGGUAUUGUGCCUCAAAACUGACCUCACAUCAGUCGCGCGACUCUUCAACAGGUUCGCUUAGUAUUAUGUGCUUAUCCAGAAUGGUUUGGAUCCCUUACUUCCUUUUAAAUAGGCUGUUUUGUAAAAAUGCAUCGUUUGUUAUUAAAUACAUGUUUUAACACAGGUGUUUGGUUUGUUACAGAGUAAAUUGUUUUGAAUCAUUAGUGAACGUAAAGAUACAAAACGCGUUGUCUACGAAGAACGAAUAAUUUCCGCAUCGUAUAAUAAUACUGCGCACUGAAUUAUACAAAACAGAAAGCACUCUCAAUCAUCGCUUGUACCAAUGUCGGCAGUCUCUGCAACCGUUUUCACCCCUGCGGUUAGAUCAAUUACUUACA